GUGCUCGCUUCAGCAGCACAUACACUGUAAUUUAAAUGAUACAGAGAAGAUUAGCAUGGGCCCUGGGCAAGGAUGACAGAAAAUUUAUGAAGAGAGUAAGGAAAUUACA